GGUUGAAUAAUCAAAACUGUAAUAGAUGGAAGAGAAUGGAGAAAAAUGGAAGAAAUUUAAAGGGCACAGGAAAACCUCCAUUAUUCCCAAUUAUAAUAUAAAAUAUUGUAAGAAAAAAUUUUACAGCAUUAACAACUAGUGGUAAUCUUUUUAUUAACUACCAUUUUAUUUUGUAGUUUUGACAGAUCUUCUAGAUGCCAUGCACACUCUUAGGGAAAAAUAUGGUAUUAAAUCCCAUUGUCAUUGUACUAACAAACAGAAUUUACAAGUUGGAAAUUUUCCUACAAUGAAUGGUGUAUCUCAAGUUUUACAGAAUGUUCUUAAUCACAGUAAUAAAAUUUCUCUAUGCAUGCCUGAGUCUCAGCAGCAAAAUACUCCUCCGAAGUCUGAGAAAAAUGGUGGCAGCAGCCCAGAGAGUGAUGUAGGCACAGAUAACAAGUUAACUCCUCCAGAAUCCCAGUCACCACUGCACUGGUUAGCAGAUCUUGCAGAGCAAAAAGCCAGAGAGGAAAAAAAA
rnacentral:sRNA from 1 species